GUCAUAUACUCACUUAGUUUCAUCACAUACUUUUGCUUUGUGUCCGAAAUAGUUAUAUUAAAAUCAGCCUAACUAACUAAAAUGAGAUACAGCUUUUCAAUUAAUUCCUUGCAAAACGAAAAACAACAUGAAAACUCAGUUUUAAGCUUAGUAUUUUGUUACAGAAAUAAAUAUAAAAAUAAUUUUCCAUUUCAUUUUCAUUAUACUAUAAGUAUUACUAUUCUAUUUAAAAUAUUCAAGAGCAAAAAAAAUCAAAAGUCAAAGCGUAAACUUCAAAAAUCAAACAAAAAGAAAACCUAUCGGACAACAUAUUGGAAUUUUUUCCGCGACAAAAUAAAAGUUUAAUGUUUUUCUUAUGAUGAACGAGUCAUCAUUAACUUAUCUGUUUAAAUAUAUGCUUGAGAACCGAAUUGAGGAAAACCUAAUUCUGGUUAUUUAUUUUACCUACUGCGAAUAAUCUAAAAAAUUAUCUGAACUGUUCUCAAUUACACUUAGAAGAAUUUGUAAUAUAAUUAACCGCACUGAAAAACAGCCGCUUAGAAUUAUUUCCAAAAAAGUUUAAGACGAAUAAGGAAAGACAUUGGGCUAUCUGAUCGUCGGAAAUAUGCUACUAGAGUGUUCAGAUGAAGUUAUAUUUUGUGACGAAACUAAAAUUAUGAUGUACUACCACGAUGGUACAAACAAAGCUCUACAUUAAAAUAAUCAGCAGUAAAGUUUGGAAAAUUGUCUGUCGUGGUUUAAGGAUGUUACUCGUCUAAAGACUAACGCUGGCGGCCACCAUCAACUCUUUACACGGACUUACAUCAACAAUAGCGCCAAACUUUCGUGCUUGAGUGUCCGUCUUGCAGUCUUCAAAUGACUUAACUGGACGACCAGAUGACAUAUGUAUUUACUUUUGGGUCAGGCGGUACAAAAUUUCCGUUCAACCACUUUUUUUCACUCUUCAAACGAUGCUAAUAUUCCAUAGCUAAUUCUCAACUUUUCUACCAGUUUGCUCACAAAAUUUCGCAGGGUGCGUUUUGGGCAUGACAUUUUAACUAAAAAAAAGUAAAAUCUUUAAAUCUUGGAAAAACUGGAAUUUAAUUUUACACAUUUUAACAUUCAUAAUACAGAAUAUUAAUAAAACAAACGAUGCCUUGCCCGAAACCGUCGGAAUCAAUUGAACAUAUACGCCAUGAAAGAUCGGCGAAUACAAAAAAUUGCACAUUAUCUCGAAGAUUGAUUUCAAGAACCAAUCAACACGAACACAAAAUUAUGUAUUGAGUAAAUACAUUCCGGCUUCUUUCAACUAAAACACUAAUAUCACUAAAAAUUUAACAUAAUUAUAUAUUUUCCAAAUACACACGCUUCAUACGUCAACUUUGAAAACUUAUAGCUGUGCGAAUAGAAAGAGAAAAACGGGUCAAAAAAUGUUUACAGUUGCAGUGUUGUAUUAUCCAUCGAAUAAUGAAAAAUUUCGGAGCAAUUUAAAAAUUGUUAUUAAUCCGAACCAAAUCGGAAAUUUCGUCCACUGUGCGAUGUGAAGCGUAACAAACGUAAUAAUUAUUCGUUUGAUUCUUCGAUCGAUCGAAGUGGGGAGAACAACUGAACUUCGACAAGCUACCAUAUUAAAAGGAAUGUGAAAAAGACUAUAAACGAAAGGAGCGACGUGUUGUCGGGGAUAAAAUCCAUAGCCAAGUCCUGCUAAACAAUAACAUAUGAACGGGACGCAGUCAGCGUUAGUUGCUGAUAUACAAAACAUACGAUAUAUCACCAGUACAACUCGAAGAAUAAUUAGUUAUAUGUAUAACAGCUAACCCACUUUCAAAGGUCUCAGCAAUAGAGACUCAAGUUUGUCAAAACGGUGUG